rnacentral:rRNA from 1 species
ACUCCUACGGGAGGCAGCAGUGGGGAAGUAUUGCACAAUGGGGGAAACCCUGAUGCAGCCAUGCCGCGUGUGUGAAGAAGGCCUUGGUUGUAAAGCACUUUCAGUAGGGAGGAAGGUAGUGUAGUUACACCUGCACUAUUUGACGUUACCUACAGAAGAAGCACCGGCUAACUCCGUGCCAGCAGCCGCGGUAAUACGGAGGGUGCGAGCGUUAAUCGGAAUUACUGGGCGUAAAGCGCAUGCAGGCGGCCUGUUAAGUCAGAUGUGAAAGCCCGGGGUCUUAACCUCGGUAAUUGCAUUUGAAACUGGACAGGCUAGAGUCGUUGUAGAGGGGUUAGGAAUUUCAGGUGUAGCGGUAGAAAUGCGUAGAGAUCGUGAAGGAAUACCGAGUGGCGAAGCGGCCCCCUGGACAAGACUGACGCUCAGAUGCGAAAGCGUGGGAGCAAACAGGAUUAGAUACCCCGUGGUAGGUCAGUC